AGAUCUUUGCAUGUUCUGUCCAGCAAGUUCUCUCUCCAUGAAGACCAUACCACCUAAAGUGACCCCAUCUCAGUCUGUCUGUUGGUAGACCUCCUGCAAUCAACUGAAGGCCUGAAUAAAACAAAAGACUGGCCUCCUCCCAAGCAAGAGUGAAAAUUUGACAUAUCCCCAGACUGGACUGAGUGAGCUGCUUUAGGAAGCUGUAUGUUUUUGGAAUUUAAUUCAAAUUUAAAUGAGGUUUCCUGCAUGUUUGGACAUUAUACCUCAGAGCCGUGGGUGCCAGAGCCCUGUCCUAUGAAUGUGUCUCUUCUGAAAAUUGCUCUAGGGAUUGGUUUUACUGAUUGGACAAAAAAUAUUUUGAACCAAUUAUAACAAAAUAGCUCAUUUCUCUUUUAUAUACAUCAUGCAAUGUCUUCACAAUCAGAUUAUGAGAUCUCUAAUUACAGAAGAGGAUUUUUAUAUUUCCUACUAGCAAACAUUUGUCCACAAAAGUUAUGAAAAACAGCUGUUAUCUGGAAUGUGGCUUGAAAUAUAUCCUGUUACUCUAAAAUGGUAUUGAUAUGAUUUAUAGUUGUCCUAUUGCAGCGAUUUUAUAAGAACUCAAUCCACAGCUCUUCUAACAUGUCUUGACAGCUUUAUUGAGAUACAAUUUACACAUUAAAAAACUGCAUGCAUUUAAUAUGUACAAUUUGAAUAUUUUUGGCAUAUCUAUGCCCAUAGGAAUUUAUCAUCUACAACCAAGAAAAUCAACAUCUCCAUCAGUCCCCUAAAUUUUCUUCUGUCCCUAUGUAAUCCCUCUUCCUACCUGCCAUCACUAGGUGGUAUGGGCUAAAUUGUGCACUGCCCAUCCCCUCCCCUCCCAUUUUAUAUGUUGAAGUCCUAAUCCCUAGCACCUCAAAACAUGACUGUGUUUGGAAACAGGCCUUCAAAGAGGUGAUUAAGCUACAACAAGGCUGUUAGGAUGAACCCUAAUCUGAUCUGACUGGUGUUCCUAUAAGAAAAGAAAAUUAAGACACACAAAGAGAUACCAGGGUAUAUUUACACAUAGAGGAGACCGCGUGAGGUACAAAGAGAGAAGGCAGCCAUCUGCAAGCUAACAAAAGAAAUCUCAGAAUGAAAUCAACCCACCAACACCUGAUUUCAGACUUCUAGCUUCUGAAACUGAGAGAAAAUAUCUGUUGUUUAAACCAUCAGUCUGUGGUACUUUCUUAGAGCAGCCCUAGCAAACUAUCAUACCAGGCAACCACUGACUAGCCUUCUGUCACUAUAGAUUAGAUUGUAUUUUCUGGAAUUUUAUAUAAAUGUACUCUUUUGGUCUGGCUUGUUUCAUUCAGUAUAAGUUAUUUGAGAUCCAUCCAUGUUGGGUUGUAUCAAUAAUUCAUUCCUUUUUAUUAUUAAUAUUUUGUUGAAUGGAUAUACCACAGUUUAUUCAUCCAUUUAUUUGUUACUGGACAUUUAGGUUGUUUUCUGGUUGAACUGUUACAAAUCAAGCUUCUAUGGACAUUUAUUUACAAGUCUUUUAUGAAUAUGUGCUUUCUUUGAUCUUGGGUAAAUAUCCAAGGUUGGAAUGGCUGGGUCAUAUGAUAGGAGUAUGCUAACCUCUUUAAGAAACUGCUAAACUAUUUUCCAAAAAUUGUACCAUUUUACAUUCCCACCAGCAGUCUUUGAGAGCUCCAGUUGCUCCGUAUCUUUGCCUAAAACUAGUAUGGUCCAUCUUUUUUAAUGUAAUUGUUCUAAUAGGUAUAUAACAGUAUGCUAUUGUGCUUUUUAAAUUUGCAUUGUAUUAUGACAGUGGUAUUGAUGAUCAUCUUUUCAUUGCUUAUUUACCGAAGUACAUCUUUUUUGGUAAAGUGUUUACAUUUUUGCAUUCUUUUUUGAGUUGUUUUUUUAUUACUGAGUUUUGCAGUUUUUAAGUAUAUUCUGAACCCAAGUUCUUAAUCAAAUAAAUGACUUGAAAAUAUACUCAGUCUUUUUAUUCUCUCACUAGAGUCUUUUACAGAAUAGACAUUUUUCAUUUUAAUUAAGUCUAUUUAUCAAUUUAUUAUUUUAUGGAUCAUUUGGUAUUGCAUUUGGAAAAAUCUUUGCCUAACCGAAGGUCAAAAUUCUUCUCUUACAUUUUCUUCUAGAAUUUUUAAAGUUUUAAGAUUUGAAUUUAGGUUUCUAAUCCAUUUUGAAUUGGCGUUUUUGUACUACAUUUUUUUUCCUUCACCUCUAUAUGUAGAAUCAAUUAAGGUAAUAAUAGUUUCUAUCUGAAAUGUCCUGCUAACACACUUACCUAUUUCAAUACUCAUUCUACCUUCCCGUCUCCCUGCAUUUUGUUUUUUUUUUUUACAUCCUUUCACCCAGGCUUUAGCUCCCAUCUCCUUCUAAGUCCUCACGCCCUUGCUGUGUCUAUGAUACUAAUGUGAUUCAGACCAUUUCUCUCCCAGUUUCUUUCCUUCAUAUAUAUGCAAUUUUAAGUCUUUCUUAUUUAAAAUAAUAAUAAUAAUAAUAAUAAUGCUUUUUGAAGCUGCAUAGCUUUCUAACUACAUAACAUUAACUUGCUUUGUUCUUUUCCUAUAAAACUAUUCUCUUGAAAGAAUUAUAUAUUCUCUCAUUUCUCUCUCUUCCAACCAACACUGCCAGGUUUCUGGCCCAGUCAUCGCACUGACACUAUUCUUACCAUCAACACUUGUGAUUUCCCUUUGCCACUUAUACAGAUCCCAUUUCAGCAUUCAUCACACAGGUCUCCCUGGGAGGCAUUUACACUGUGGAUCUCUGUAACUGGAAGGCAUUUCCAAAGCUUGUCUGAGUCUUCCACAUUGUCUCUCCUCUUUCUCUCUGUUACUUGAGACAUGUUUUCUCCAUAUUUUCUCUUCUCAUUCUAUACAUUCCACUGGUGACCACACAUAAAAUCAAGGAAUCAAAUGCCACCUUUGAAAAAUGAAUCUCCUAAGUAGAUUUCUGGUCCAGACUUAUUUACCCAGACCAUCAACUUUCUGUUGUAUAUUUCCAAUAGCAAUGUCAAGUGCAAUACGUGACAAACAUAAUGCCAUUCUUCUUUCACCUAAACACAGGGGUCUUUCAUACUUCCUGUGGGGGUAGACGGCACAUCAUUAACCCUGUCACCUAACCACUGUCCCCUCCAUUCCCAAUGAAAAAUAACCCAGAUAUUUCAGUUACAUCUCCUACAUAUGUCUCCAAUCUAUGCUUUCUCUUCAUAUCCACUGCUUCUCUCCUUAGUAUAUCUCAUCUAAAAUUCUGGAAUAGACUUCAGAUGGACCUGCAGAUUCUAAUUCUUACCCUCUCAACAUUCGACUUGUAUAUUGAUGCAUGAGUAAAGUUUCUGAAACACAAAUAUGUUUAGGGGAAUCCCAUGUAGAUCAUAUAUUUAGGCAACUCUAAUACAGAAAAAAUUGAACCCAUUCUCAUGUAACAUUCAGAUUGUUGUCUUUCUCUCACAUCUCAUCACUAACAACUGCUCUACACAAAAUCUGAGAUCUAGCAAUAGCUAGCUUCAUAUAGUUUCCUGAGCAUGGAAUAUUGAUACAACUUCCAGGCCUCAGAUGAGUGGACAAAAUUAAACUCACAAGGCAGUAAUGGCAUUCAAUCCCUGAAAAUUUCGCUGCUCUUUCUAAAAAGGUAAAAUAUAUUCUGCCUAUUAUAAAGUAAAUGCUGACCUUCCUAUUUUGUUUCUUUUCCUUUACGCUAAUGGAAAAUAACUUUAUGAUUUAAAAUAUAAUUUAUUGUACUUAUAAUAAUUUGUUUUGACUUGAUGGUUAAUGCUUGGGCAUAACUUAAAAUUAGAAUAAAAUGUAUAAAUGUAAAAGAAUCAUUUAUGUACUAUAAAUCAUUGAUAUGAUAUUCUCAAAGUACUUUGUGAAAAGCACAUUAAGAAGUAUGGAUCCUAAUGCAUAGGUAAGAAAACACAGAGAUAGGUUAAAGAGCUAAAAUAUCAUAAAUCCCAACCUGUCUUACUUCCCAUUAUUUUUAUCUGCCUGAUAUUAAAGAUCCUUCUUAUCAUAAAAUUAUCUGCAAGGAAAUGAAACAUUGAGUUCAGUACUGAUGAGUCUUGAAAAAAAGAAACAGAAUAAAAAUUCACACACUAUCUUUUCCAUUUCACUUAGUGUCCUGAAGCCAAACAGGAGUAUUCCCUAGAAUUACUUGUAAAAACAUUAGAACAGGGUGCAAACCUGGAUUCUACUGCUUGCUAGUUGUGUGACUUUAGGCAGAUCAUUCAC
rnacentral:lncRNA from 1 species